GCGAAAACUUUACAAUGCUGGCAACAGCCAUAAGGGAACCUCGAGUGCCGGGUUACAAAUCUGGCUGUCGAGAUGCCUAAAAAGCAUUUCAUAGCAAGGGCCGGGCAAGACCGGUGCCAGCCGCCGAGGUAACACCGGCGGCUCGAGUGAUAACCGUUAUUAUUGGGUCGAAAGGGUCUGUAGCCGGCCGGAUAAGUCUCUUGAGAAAUCUGGCAGCUUAACUGUCAGGCUUUCAGGAGAUACUGUCUGGCUCGACGCCGGGAGAGGUGAGAGGUACUUCAGGGGUAGUGGGGAAAUCAUGUAAUCCUUGAAGGACCACAAGUGGCGAAGGCGUCUCACCAGAACGGACCUGCCGGCAAGGGACGAAAGCUCGGGGCACGAACC
rnacentral:rRNA from 1 species